CCUACGGGAUGCACCAGUGGGGAAUCUUGGACAAUGGGCGAAAGCCCGAUCCAGCAAUAUCGCGUGAGUGAAGAAGGGCAAUGCCGCUUGUAAAGCUCUCUCGUCGAGUGCGCGAUCAUGACAGGACUCGAGGAAGAAGCCCCGGCUAACCUCGUGCCAGCAGCCGCGGUAAUACGAAGGGGGCUAGCGUUGUUCGGAAUUACUGGGCGUAAAGCGCGCGUAGGCGGAUAGAUAAGUCAGAGGUGAAAUCCCGGGGCUCAACCCCGGAAUUGCCUUUGAUACUGUUUAUCUUGAGUGCAGAAGAGGUAAGUGGAAUUCCGAGUGUAGAGGUGAAAUUCGUAGAUAUUGGGAAGAACACCGGUGGCGAAGGCGGCAACCUGGCUCGAUACUGACGCUGAGGCGCGAAAGCGUGGGGAGCAAACAGGAUUAGAUACCCCUGUAGUC
rnacentral:rRNA from 1 species